AGCCGGAGCCCGAGUGAGCGCGGGCUUGAGACCUGCUGAGCAGCGGGACCUGGCGGCUGGCGUUCUGGUGUGGGGCCGAGAACAGACCCUUCUUCUGAAAAGCCACUGGCCCCUUGUUCUAUGAAGUCGAUUUCUCAUUGUCUUCACCAAUCUUCUGAACCCGUGAAUACUUUUUGCAUGAUGAUUUGAAGCAGCCAGGAGGCCAAGACAGCGGCCAGGAGAAGCAGCAAGGAAUUGAGCCUUGUACAUUUUUCUCAAAAAAAUAAAAGAUGGGGAACCACCAUGCUCGAGAUAAGAAAUUAGUCUGUGAAGAGACCUUCAAGUUCUGUAAAUGGUAGAAAAAAAUUUAAAUGAGACAUAUCUUUCUCAAUUUGCAUCCCAAUUAUUUUCUUAAAUUGUCAUUCACUGUAACCUAGGGAAAACAGAAUUCAGAAUCACAUGGCAGUAAUGAUUUUCAUGUCCUUUCCCUAACUCUACCAUGACUCCGCUCCCCUAACACACCUAGGUGUCUUUCUUUCCUUUGUGGCUCAUGCAAUUUCUUCUGCCUGCAAUUCCAGUAAGAAUGGAGACUCUGGGAAUGGAUUUCAGAAUUAUUCAGGAGGAAUAAUUUUCAGGAUGUGUGAGUGAUCAAAUCUAGGGGCCAAGCAAGUCAAAGAGUGAAAGAAGAGCUCAGAAGUUGAACACAUUUAAGAGGAAAGAUGAAAAUUUUGGUUCAGUGGUGUCAGUAGUCAACUAGAUGGAAGUGUAAGAAGGAAGAUGGAAAUGGGAGACUACAAAAUAGGAAACAGAGCUACAAAGAGAAAUAAAGUAAUCCAAAGAAAGAGCAUUUAUUAGUGGACACCAAGAGUUGGACGUAGAUCCUUUGGAAAUGUAAUAUUUCAAUUGCUCACAAAUUCUCCAAAUUGACAAUAUGGCAAGUCUAUUCAAAGAUAAGUAAGUCAUGGUACACAGACCAACUCUAUUACACCAAGGACACAUACCAAGACUAGGAGAAAAGAGAGACUGGGAGGAAUAAUUCUGCCUUCGGACCAGAGGAAGAGAGCAAGAGUUAGAGACAGCUUCCUGGAAGAGGUGGCAUUUGAGCUAGCUCUUUAAGUUUCAAUGGGAGAAGAAAGAAAAGGCAUCUGGAAACAAGGAAGCAGCAGUAGCAAAUGAGGAAGAAUCAGAAGGGAAGCCAGAGAGCACCAUUAUCACCAGAGGAUAUACCAAAUCCAGUCAUUCAUAAGCUAUUUAUUUUGUGUGAUUUUAAACAAUAGCUGCUAUCGGCUGGGCACGGUGGUUCACGCCUAUAAUCCUGGCACUUUGGGAGGCCGAGGUGGGAGGAUCACCUGAGGUCAGGAGUUCAAGGCCAGCCUGGCCAACAUGGUGAAACCCUGUCUCUACUAAAAAUACAAAAUAAAAAUUAGCCAGGCGUGGUGUCGUGCACCUGUAAUCCCAGCUAUUUGGGAGGCUGAGGCACAAGAAUCGCUUGAACUUGGAAGGUGGAGGUUGCAGUAAGCCAAGAUUGCACCACUGUACUCCAGCUUGGGCAAUAGAACAAGACUCUGUCUCAAAAAAAAAAAAAAUUAAAAAAAAUAGCUGUUACCUUCUCCUUAAAAUUAAUUUAAGUUGAAGGCAGGAUUAUGUCUUACCCAGCUGCACUACAAUGCUUUUACAGAGAAGGUUCCUAAAUUUUAAUUUAGUACAUAUAUUUUUUCAUUCUAGUUUAAGUUACCUGAAUUAGCAAUGCACUGUGCUCCAUAACUUUAUGGCAUUUUUAUCCAUAAAUGGCAUUUAUAUUUGUGAAGUUCUUUGCUUUAUUUUAAAAAGCAGUAAUGGAUAUAUGUUUAAGUGAAUGUGGCAACAUCGGUUAUCCCCAUUAGGCUAUCUAAAACCCCACGACAUGAAAAGGGUCCACUGCAUUCAAAGAAAAGAAAUUAUCCAAGCAUCUUCACUGCUCUCACCUUUUCAUUGGCCAUUGAAUGGUACCACCAAAACAGUCGUGUUGUGAUAUAAUAAGCAAUGAUCACAUCGAUAGUGUAGUGUUCGUGUGCUACAAGAAUGCAGAUGAUCCCGGCAGCACUCAGCAGCCAGCAGAUUAAAUGAUACCACCAGAAGUGACGAGGCGAAUCUGGACAGUAGAAAAAUUACAGAGUUAAUAAGAUUCCCAGAGAUGAAUGUAAUGAUUACAGUCUGUCCUAACGACCUUAAGUAGAAUAACCCAGGAUCAGGAAGUCACCAGAAGGAUAAAACUGAUAACCUAAACUGAGUCACUAUGAACUGCCCAGGAUCUGCUCAGGUAGGAGGGAGGCAGAGGGGCUCCCUGGCAGCGGGCGUAAUAGUCAUUCACUGGGGAAGCUGGUAACACUAGACAUUCUAGGCCUUACCCACGUGAAUAAGCUGUUUAGUAAGAAAGAACAGAAUUGUUUCUUAUUAGGUUUGCUGGAAUUGCUGCAUACUGGCUCACAUAAAGGAGCCACUUUCCCACUGGAAAGAAAGAUAGUAGGGAUCAAAAGAAAAGGUGGUGGUCUAUGAAAAUAAGGGGGGAAAUGGGAAAGCAGGAGUAAUUUCAGGUUUUAAAUUUAUAUUAUUUCUCCAGGGGUAUGUGUAGGGUAAGGGGGUCAGAAGGAAUGGCAUUGUGGCUAGCAAUAUUUUGAUUCUCAGCAAUUUUACACUGUUAUUGCCAAUAGAAACUAUAAAACAUUCCCUCUGUAAAGGUUAGGGUUCCUAACCAUUCACUUAUGGACUCAGCCUUCCUGGUAAAGCCACUUAAAAGUUCAUUCUACUUACUAGCUGUAAGAGACAACUGUGGCACUCACUGGUUUAAACAUGAUGGUCCUCCCCUUCUCACACAAGUGUUAAUGACAAAUAUAACUGAAACCAGAGUUCAUCUCUAGCAGCUUGGUGAUCUGUUUUAUUUUAAAGC
rnacentral:lncRNA from 10 species